GUUGGCGUAGAGAAUAUCCUUUUAUGAUAUUUGUUGGAUAAUAUAUUUUCUGUUUGGUAGUAAAAUCUCCCUGUCAUUUUUUAUGUUAGAAGAUGGCAAUAUGUGAUGGAGUAUGCUGCUGAUUCUCGUAAUGAUUAUACUACACUUAUUAGAGGAGGGAUCCACUUACUCCAAGAAGAGUAAUUUUAAAAAACUUACUCCACAUCAUAUCUAUCAAUUCUUGUGAAAUCCAAUUGUUUGAAUUGGUGAGUAGAUUUAAACCAUUGGAUUUCCCUAAAUUGAUGGUUAGAAAAAAUUACUCUUGGAGUAAAUGGAUCCCCUCUUUUAUAUGUAUAUAUGAAUGAUUGAUGUGUUUUAUUUUUGUUAAAAUUGGGUUCUGAAUCAUAGAUUGUAGUUUUGUUGACAUAAGCCAUUUUGUGGUAUUUAGCUGUAGGGCGUUGAUUUUUGUGUACAAUAGAAUUAUCUUUUGUAUUUGGAUUAUAAGUUCUUUCUGGGUUAGGACAAAGGUUAAGAUUUUUUUUGGCUCUUUGAUUUGAUAUUGAUUAUUUAGUACAAAGGCGCUGUGAAAUUAUCCGAGUCACGAAGGUGAUUAGAUAAAGCCCUCUUUAAAGUGGCAGUUCAAUUGUCGUCCUACUCCACCACUUUGACCAAACUCUGUUGGGUAGAUUGGCUGAGCUUGUGGAUAGUGGUUUGUUUGUGAGAAUGUCGUAGUGAAACGAAAGUAUUAAUCAUGUAAUGUGAAACUCUUAGCAUCAGGAGGCACUUUUGAAAGUAGACCUUGUUUUUCUCCCUACCUCAUAUAAUGUGGCUGCAAAUUAAUUGUUUUUACCUUGUAGUGGUUAUAAGGUUGAUGCUUACUGUGAUCUUUAUCAGGAGAGAAGAGAAGUUCUGUCUUGAUUCUCUCAUGUGUAUAUACUCUACUGCUCUAGCCUACCAUUUAUUCCCUCUUGAUUCUCCGACCAAGAUAAAAAGCUUAGGCUCUAAAUUAUAUGCUUGGUGUGAUUUUAUAAUUGUAGGGAAAACCUGUGACUCCAUCAUAUAUAUUUGCAGAUUAGUUCCAACUCUUGUUAUUCGUAUUUUUUAUUGUUCACUUAUGAACUCCUUUUGUUUCUGGAGGCUUUUAUAGAGCCUUUCUUGACACCCUCUAAAUCAUUGAAAACCCUAU
rnacentral:lncRNA from 1 species